ensembl:snRNA U6 U6 spliceosomal RNA
GUGCUCACUUCGGCAGCCCAUAUACUAAAAUUGGAACGAUAGAGAGAAGAUUAGCGUGGCCCUUGCACAAGGAUGACACGCAAGUUCGUGAAAUGCCCCACAUUUUA